UUGUUUCUUUAUUUAUGUGUGUGAAAACUUCAACUCCCAAAGUCUAUGCGUGAAGGCUUCAACCUCUCGAAGAAGGAUGUUAGGAUUAAGAGAGAAAAAUUAAGUAGCAAAGAAAGCAUAAUCAAAGGGCAAGGGAUAGGGAAAGGCAUGCAAUCAAAGUACGUAACGUUCAGAACCAUACAAACCAUGUAGCAGCUAGGCAUGUAACACUUAGUGGAGGGCGUGCAACACCCUGGAGCAAGAAGCAUGGGGUGUGCAACGCCAUGCAGGGCGUGCAACCCCCCAUAGAGAGCCAAGAGAUGGCGUGUAAUGCCUAGUAAAGGGCGUGCAACGCCCAAGCAAGCCCUGGAAAAAGAAUCAAGGGCGUGUAACGCCUAGUGGAGGGCGUGCAACGCCCUGGAGGAGAAGCAAAGAUGGUGUGCCAUGGCAAGGAGGGCAUGCAACACACCUUGAGAGGACAAGUGCCAUGCCAUGCAGGGCGUGCAAUGCCCCUAGAGCAAGAUGAAGCUGGCAUGCCACGCCAUAGGAGGCGUGCAACACCUCUGGAGGACACCAGGCAUGGCGUGCCAAGCCUUGAAGAUAGUUAGGUCCUUGGAGAGCAGCCCAAGCCUGGCGUGUAAUGCUACUAAAGGGGCGUGCCAUUCCCUGAAUUCGACAAAGGUAGCAUGCAACGCCCUAAUGGGGCGUGCAACGCCAGGCCCAAAAAUUAAAGGUGGCGUUUAACACCACUGCUUGGCGUUAAACGCCCAAGCUUAAAGAUCAAGCCCAGUUACACACCACCAAGUCCAGUGCAACACCAAUGAUGAAUUCAGCAAGGUCCAACCUCAAAGAUGUGAUUCCUAAUUGAAGAUUGAAGAAGAUUCUGUUAUAAUUUGAUUUGAAUUUGAUUUAAUUCUAUUUUAAUUCUUGGAUUUGAAUAAUUAGACAUGAUCUUAUUUUGAUUAAGAUAAGAUUUAGUUUUUGAAUUUAAAUUAGAAGAACCUUAGGUAUAAAUAAGUAAAUGACAUUCAUAGAGAGGACAUUGAGUUUCCUCCGCAUAGUUUCUUUUUGUCAAAGGGUUAGGAUCUCUAUUUAUGUUUCCAUGGAUUAUUACUCUAAGUUUUCUUUUAUUUUAAAGUAUUGCAUCGAUCUGUUUCAUGAUUUAGUUAUUCAUUCCUCAUCCUUAAAAGAUUAGUAUCCGUUUUAAAUUUGUUUAUUGCUUUGACAGAUCUAAUAUCCAAAUUAUGCUUGAAAACUCUUUCACGUGACUUUUUGAAUUUGACUAGACAUAGUGUUUCAAUUAGUAUACGACAAUACAUGAUUUUCAAUCACUCUAAUUUUGAUUACAUGACAUAUCAUUUGGAUUAGAACAACUUUUGAAAAUUGUGUCUUCUCAUAAGGUUCAACUGGAUAGGACUAGCUUGGAUACGUGACAUAUAAUCCGACCUAAGGACAACUUUUGAAUCUUAUGAGGAACUGAAUUGGAUUUGUACUUAACCUCUUCAAUUCACUGAUUGACCAAGACAUUGGUGGUUGGUUAAUUGAGGAGAAACUGAGGAACUAAGACAUUGGAAAUUAGUUAAUUAAGGUUCGUCGUGAAAAGAUAUCUGCAUGCUUUAGAAUAGGUAAACAAGGUUUGAUUUUUCUAGAGUUUAAACAUCUCCGAAACCCUUGACAUUCAUCAUUAUUAUUCUCUCUCAAUCAAGCAUAUGUUCACUGUCCUCUUUCUAGCAUUCAACAUUCAAGCAUUCUAGGUUUUAGCAUUCAUCAAUCCAGAUUUUAUUUGAUCUAAUUAGAAAUUUAACUCGAUAUUUGCUUGCUCAAUCCUUUAAUCCUCGUGGGAAUGAUAUCCACUCACCGUGGUAUUACUUGAAUGAUCCGGUGCACUUGCUAAUAUCCGUGAGCUUUAGUUUUUGUUCAUCAAGUUUUUGGCCCUGUUACCGGGGAGUAACUAAGAUUGGCAACAUACAUUGGGUUAAAUUACUAAAUUAGAUCCUGUUUUACUCUUUCGUUUUGUUGUUUUGUUUUCAUUCCUUUAGCUUUCUUUUUUUUACCACUGGUGCCUUUGAUCUAUUUCUUUGUGUAUGCAAGGGAGUGACAAUUCUAAACCUCUUCAGUAUGAUCCUGAGAUUGAAUUAACUCUAUUCUGAUUAAGAAGGCAAGCAAGAACUAGGAAAAAAGAGAAGAAAAAGAUGGCCAAGGGACAAAAAAUGCAAGGAGAACCCUUGGAGGCUUUACCACACCCACCACUGACAGUUGUGGCAAUAGCAUAGUGAGACACACUAUGGAAGCUAACAAUUUCAAGUUGAAACCUUCACCCAUCUAAUUGGCACGGCAAGACCAAUUCAUUAGUAAUCCUCAAGAAGAUCCAAACAUGCACAUAUCUAGCUGGUGCACGAAUCCCCACACUUUUAUACAUCUGUACCAGCAAGUACACUGGGUCGUCCAAGUAAUACCUGAGUGAGUCAAGGUCGAUCCCACGAAGAUUGUGGUUUGAAGCAAGCUAUGGUUAUCCUGCAGGUCUUAGUCAGGCAUAUUCAGAAGGUUGUUGGAUUGAUAGAGUGAAAAAGGUCUAAUAUAAUAGGGUGCUAAUACUUUAUGAAUUAAAUGGAAUAAUAAUGGGAAUAUAGUUGAGGAUUGGAGUUGCUUAUCCUUUUUGAAUUAAUUCUGGUAUUACUGUCUCCUUUGCC